rfam:Aedes albopictus isolate Foshan contig75753, whole genome shotgun sequence.
UAGCCUAGUGGUUAAGGCUAUGGAUCGUCAAUUCGGAGACGGCGGGUUCGAUUCCCGU